rnacentral:rRNA from 1 species
UACGGGGGGGGCAAGCGUUGUUCGGAAUUACUGGGCGUAGAGGGCUCGUAGGCGGCCAACUAAGUCAUACGUGAAAUCCCUCGGCUUAACCGGGGAACUGCGUCUGAUACUGGAUGGCUUGAGAUUGGGAGAGGGAUGCGGAAUUCCAGGUGUAGCGGUGAAAUGCGUAGAUAUCUGGAGGAACACCGGUGGCGAAGGCGGCAUCCUGGACCAACACUGACGCUGAGGAGCGAAAGCCAGGGGAGCAAACGGG